rnacentral:rRNA from 1 species
UAAGACAGAGGGUGCAAACGUUGUUCGGAAUUACUGGGCGUAAAGCGAGUGUAGGCGGUCUCGUAAGUCGGGUGUGAAAGCCCCGGGCUCAACCCGGGAAGUGCACUCGAAACUGCGAGGCUAGAGUACUGGAGAGGUUGGUGGAAUUCUCGGUGUAGAGGUGAAAUUCGUAGAUAUCGAGAGGAACACCGGUGGCGAAGGCGGCCAACUGGACAGAUACUGACGCUGAGACUCGAAAGCGUGGGGAGCAAACAGGAUUAGAUACCCUGGUAGUCCACGCCGUAAACGAUGGGUGCUAGGUGUCGCGGGCUUUGACUCCUGCGGUGCCGUAGCUAACGCAUUAAGCACCCCGCCUGGGAAGUACGGCCGCAAGGCUAAAACUUAAAUGAAUUGACGG